CUUGAGCAAGUUGAAGAGUGGCCUUCCAAUCACUCCAAAGUUUCUGACCAAUCUUCGAUAGUAACCGGUGAGGCCUAAGAAACUGUGCACACCCUUGAUGUCACUUGGUGUUUUCCACUCCACCACUGCAUGUAUCUUGCUUGGGUCGGUCGCCACUCCUUGUGCGCUGAUGACAUGGCCUAUGUAAGAAAGUUGUUGCUGACCAAAUGCACAUUUGCUUUCUUUGACUUUCCAUUGAUCUUGCUGCAACACUUCUAGGACCUCACGAAGCUUCACUUUGUGCUCUUCCAAAGUCUCACUAUAUACUAAGAUGUCGUCAAAGAAAACAAGCAUGCCGUGGCGUAACACAAGGCGCAGAGUGCCAUGCAUCGCACCAUUAAAUGUGCCUGGUGCUCCUGCUAAACCAAACGAGACAACCUUAAAUUCAUAAUGGUAAACUCUUCCCAUCCGUAGUCUGAAGGAACGCCAGCGACAGACCGCUCGAAGGCCGUCGAUUCAUUCAAAAUCUGACGCUCAAGAUUUUGCCUCAUUUUGUGGAAAAAAAAUAAUCAGCGUAAACCUCGCACGUAAUCCCCUCUCCCUAAUCCCUCGCGAGCCCAUCAUCCAUAAUCGCCCGCUCCGCUUCGGUCGCCUCACCGCCAGCUUGCGUCGCCGCCAGCUCUCCUCGCCAGAUCCACUGCUCCGCCGGCCAGCUCGAUCCGCCUCGCACAUCCACCUCGCCGGCCAGCUUCCGCCCCCUGUUUCUCCUUCGAUCCAUGCCGUCCAGCGUCACGACUGCCCCCUAUUCCUCUCCACCGAUGCGUACCCCGGGCGACGGUGCUCCAUCCUGGCAUUAGCAGUUCGAGGCCCCAAUCAUGGCUGCGAUUCGUGCUUUGCCGGGCUCCACCAUCGAUUAAAUCCGCUGCAUUGGGGUUUCUCCUGCCGGCCGUAGAACAGGCAUCUGAUUGCAAAAAUUCCGCCCUAUUCAAAGCACACACUUCCAAAUCCAAGACAUUUCGUUCCGCUCGAUGUAGUCAUGCUUCCUCAUAUCCAGCACAAGGGCUAAGGUGACGCAACCUCUAGGCAAUGUUGUUUGUUGGUGGUUGCCUUGUUGCCGACGAAGAACUCGAGGUGCACGUGGAGCUCACACAUGAUCGGCUACUUCAACGCGCAGUGAUGCUGGCUAUGCAGAAGUGAAAUUAUUGUUGUUUGGAUAAAAGUGUAUAAUGUUACCAUAGAAAUAGAAAUAAUGCUAGUUAAAUUCGUAUAAUGUUAAUAGUCAAAAAAAAGUGUAUAAUGUUUUUAUCAGUUAAAUUUGUGCAUAUGUA